rnacentral:misc_RNA from 1 species
GGAAACUUGCAACAAUGCCACUUGCCUGAAUUCAUAAGGCGAAACAACAUUGGUGGCAUAUGAAACACAAGAUAUGUUGGCAAUGCCGUGCUUCUGGUUUUAGAAGACUCUUGACAAGUGGAAUUUAUUUUGGAGAUGGACAGGAUGUUAUGCUGAUGCUAUGUAGUGACGUCUUUUAUUAGAAAAACUUUUCUUAAUCCACUUCUCACAUGCCUCAGGAAACUUCUCCUAAUAUGGUUGGUCUGUUCUAGUAGGUCUUGCAUGGACUUCAUAGAAUUUAUAUCUAGGUGAACAUCAGCUCAUUUUUUGUAUCUU